GAAACAUAAAAGCAGCAUUAACUACUGAGAGUGUGUUUAUAAAAGAGGCCAGGCUGAUAGUGAUUUGACUGGUCUGGAUGCUGUUCAAGGGCUCCAGUUAAAGAUUUGCCACUUAUGCGAAACUUUAGAAGUCAUCAUGGCAGAAAGAAAGAAUGUGACCAGUAUAUAUAGGCCCUUAAA
rnacentral:lncRNA from 1 species